ACAAAUUAUACUGUAGUCCCAGGAAAAUGGUUAAAUAGUGACAGCAUUUCACUAAAAGCAUCAGAUCUGCUAGCAACAUCCUUAAACAAACGAUCAGAAAGAGAGACCAUGGGUUUCAGUACCAUGGAAUUGCGAUAUUAUUACUAUGUAAAUAUUUAGGUUCCUUUGUUGUCUUACAUACCAGUGUUUGGCAUUUCUGGACUAUCCUCAAUUCCAUCAGGCUCCUUGCGCUCUGAUGACAUACAAACAACUGAUCUGAACAUCACUUCUGACAAAAACAGCUAUGUAGCCUGGUGCUGAACACCAAAAUAAACUUUAGCUUCUGACAAGAAUCAAUUGUACCAAAGAUUUGUGUAAUUAAUUGUAAUUAUUUACCAGUUGCACUCGGC
ensembl:lncRNA